rnacentral:rRNA from 1 species
GACGGAGGGUGCAAGCGUUGCUCGGAAUCACUGGGCGUAAAGGGUGCGUAGGCGGUCUCGCAAGUCUGGCGUGAAAGCCCAAGGCUCAGCCUUGGAAGUGCGCUCGAAACUGCAGAACUCGAGUCCUGGAGAGGAAGGCGGAAUUCUCGGUGUAGAGGUGAAAUUCGUAGAUAUCGAGAGGAACACCGGUGGCGAAGGCGGCCUUCUGGACAGUGACUGACGCUGAGACGCGAAAGCGUGGGGAGCAAACAGG